CUUUCACAACCCAGCCCGGCCACAGAGAGCGGCCCUGAGCAGCGGAGUUUGGAAGGCCCGGCGCAUGUGGGCAUACAGGGCUGUUGGAAAAAGGAGGAAAUGGCUGGAUCUGUGGCAACCCUCUUGGACCACAGGAGGUCCCUGGAGUGGAAGCCACUAAG